GUCAAGUCAUCAUGGCCUUUAUGGCCAGGGCUACACACGUGCUACAAUGGUGGAUACAGAGGGAAGCCAACGCGCGAGCGGGAGCCAAUCCCAGAAAAUCCAUCGUAGUCCGGAUUGGAGUCUGCAACUCGGCUGCGUGAAGUCGGAAUCGCUAGUAAUCGUGAAUCAGCGAUGUCACGGUGAAUACGUUCCCGGGUCUU
rnacentral:rRNA from 1 species